AGACUCCAAAAGAAAGGAAGUAACAAGUGUUGGCGAAGAUAUGGGGGAAGGGGAGCCCUCAUGCCCUGUUGGUGGGAAUGCAAACUGGUGCAGCCACUCUGGAGAACAGUUUG